ACCGUUGAUGCAGAGAUUGGAACUCUGUAAUCCGGCCUAGGACAGCAACAGGGGGUGUCAUAGCAACGUAUGGACAUUCUAAAUUCAGUAAAACAAAAAGAAAUAUACAGUCUGCAAAGAGCGAUGGUGCCAGAUUACAGCUCAAGCCCCCAACACCGAGGACAGUUUCUUCUUUCUCUACUGCGAGCACGUCAGAUACAACACUAGAUUUAUCAGCUCCUACGCCAGAAAUUCAGUCAGGAAAGAGAACUCUGAAUGGAUGACUUUGAAAGC